rnacentral:rRNA from 1 species
UACGAAGGGGGCUAGCGUUGUUCGGAAUUACUGGGCGUAAAGCGUGCGCAGGCGGUUUUGUAAGCCAGAUGUGAAAUCCCUCGGCUUAACCGGGGAACUGCGUCUGAUACUGGAUGACUUGAGUUCGGGAGAGGGAUGCGGAAUUCCAGGUGUAGCGGUGAAAUGCGUAGAUAUCUGGAGGAACACCGGUGGCGAAGGCGGCAUCCUGGACCGAUACUGACGCUGAUGAGCGAAAGCCAGGGGGAGCAAAACGGGG